CUCUUUGUUAUCUGCCUUUCGUUGGCUGCACAUAGCUUGAAUGUCCCUGUUGGGUGAUGUGCUCACAUGCAUGUUUAUAUGUGUUGGUAUCUGUGUGUUGCCUUUGUUUUUGUUUAGCUGGCUGAGGUGACUGCAUUGUGUAUACCUGUAUGGGAUGGAUUGCAUUCAUUUGUGAGUCUGCACCCUAUAUGAUUUCUCUAAAUCCCCUGGCUGCAUGCUGUGUCUGUGUGGGGUAUGUUGCAUUUGUUGUUUGUAGGUACAACUGCAUAUUCUGUGUGUUCCCCUGUGUCUCUGCCUCUGUGAAAUGUGUCUGUGUGUUUUCCCUGCCAGCUCCUCCUCCCCUUCGGGUGCCCCAGCCUCUCUCCCUGCCUUCUCCUCCCCAGGCUGUGACCACUCUCAGCUGACACCUCCGCUGCUCUGGCAACCCAAGAACAGCCUGGAGAAAGGUCAGCUGGCCGCCUUCCCCAGGGCCUGCCUGGAUCCUUGGACCCCAGUGUUGCGUGGUGUGGGAGCGCCCUCUGUUGGCUGUAUGGGCCAUGAACACCACUGGAAACAGACUUCCUCUUUCCCUUGCUGCUCACCCCUGAGACUUCCAGCCUUCUUAAUAAGGGACUUUAGGAGAGGAAUGGGUAGGGUCGCCUAUAAUUUGCCGUUGAAAGCGAGAUGUUUUGGAGAAUGAAAGAGGGUGUGAAUAAGUGCACUGAGAUACUGAGUAUUCGGCAGAUGCGUCUUAAGCAGAUGGUGAGGAAGGCUUCCCUGACCGCCUACUUGGGUCUCAGCCCCAUGGGCAUAAGCCAACAAAAUGUGUGCUAGCCCUCACUGGUGAAAGGGUCAGCUAUUCCCAAUUUAUGUUUGAGGAAGUCAGAAUCUCAAAUCUAUGCUUACCCAAUGACUUCACGCUUUCCCUUGGGAAUAAUUUCCCAAGACCCCAAUUUCCCCUUUGCAGCAGGGACCCAAGGUGGAGACCCAAGGGUUCCAGUUCCAGAAAGAGGGAGGACUGAAAUGUUUCUAGGGGAUUUAACAGAAAGAGGUCAAAGGCACUCUUGUGAGAAGAAAGGGAAUAGUUAUAGAGGUACCCAGGACUUGUAAUGCCCCAGGUGCGUGACUCUGACAGCCUCAAGAGGAAGAGAAAGGUGCUGUGUGCACACAUGUGGGUACAUGCGUGCACACAUGUGGGUACAUGCACACACACACACACACACACAUAUAUACACACACACACAUCAGGAGGCAGAACAUCCAACAGCCUGCAUGGCUAAUAUCGUGGGGUUUGAGAAUAUACACAUUUACUAUUUCCUGCGUUAUAGAAGAAACACAACCAAAGGCACCAUUUUAUGCAAAAACAUGAGUUUUCAUUGCAUUCCUUGUGCUGGUGAUUAAAGAAGAGGCUCUGAUAAGCAAUGGCUAUUCUUUAACUCAGGAUGACAGCUCCAGGUGAACCAAAAGACCACUUGGCCCAAUUGGUCGAAAGUGUGUUCUUCAGAACAUUACCUCCCAUGAGACAUUAAUAGUUAUUUGAAGGUGUGGCCAAAUAAAUUUGAAAAAUACAGGAUUAAAUAAAGUUAAACAGAUUUUUUUUCUCAUGGGAUAUCUCAGAGCCUUUAAUAUGAUAAUGUCUUAUGAAUUUCUAAGAAAGGAGGAGACUGUACUCAGCAUUUCACAAAAGAUAUGAAUAAUGGAUUUUUUUUCCAGAAUGUUAUGGGACAAAAUUCUAAAUUUACACAUGGGCAAAGCAAGACCCCAAGUAGCAUAAUUCAGUUAUUAUUAAAUAACUAUUUACUACAAGAAUCAUGUUUUUUGUUUGUUUGCUUUUGCUUUUGUGUGUUUGUUUUAGUUAAUCUCUUUGGAUCUUGUACUAACCUACACAGGUAGGUACUAUGUUAUCAUGUUAAAUGACAGAUGAGAAGAGAGACUCAGAGAAGUGAAGUGGUUUGUCCCAAGUUAUGGCAUUGGUCAGUGACAGCAACACUCAAUACCAGGCACCUCUCUAUAAACCAUAUACAACUUCCACUUUGCCAACUCCUGGAAUUCAUCCUAUAUCCAGGAGGCCGGUGUGGAGCAGUGGCCAGAUGCAGCUGUGGACAAUGAAAAGAGGAAGGAGGACUGAUCAGUCCCCUAAGAAGCAGUUACUAAUAUGUCAGGCACUGACUAGGCAUACGACCUGGUGUUUCACAUAUCUCUCAUGACAACCUUGUGAAUGGGGAUUAAUAUCCCUAUUAUACAUGCAAGAAAACUGGGGCUCAGGGAUAUUGAGUUAUUUGACCUAAUUACAAAUCUGGGAGGUGGAAGGGGAGAAAAAGAAACAAAAAACUACCUUUUGGGCAAAAGGAAUGGAAUGGCCAAGGCUACAUUAUAUACAAGCCAAAAGAACAAUUUCCAUUGACCUUGAGGAAUGUGUAAGGGCAAAGUCAUAAGCCGAGUUUAAUUGAUAAUUUCACUGUCCAUAUGUGAAGAAAGAGCAAUGAACCACAAGACUUGGGCUCAAGGCCCAGCUCUGCCUCUAACAUGCUGCAGGACCUAGGAUCAGUCCUUUCCUGUCUCCAGGACUCAAUUUUCUUGCUAUACAAUGAAGGGAUUGUACGGAGUGAUCUACAUGGACUAGCAGCUCUAAGGUUUGUAAGACUGUAUUAUAAACUUUGAAGAGAAUGAGGGAAGGGUCCAAGGAUUCUCCUUUGCAGCUUUCCUAGAAAACCAUGUAUCUUCCCCAUGAAAGGAAGAAUACAAAUAAUGAUGGUCAAAUUUACUGAAUGCCUAUUAUGUGCCACAUACUAAUGUCCAUAGUUAAGAGUCAAACUAAGACCCAAAGCCAAAAGAAAGUAUUGUACCCAAGGCCACAUAACUAGUAAGUGAUGUAACUGAGACUUCAGAUAUCAAACUAACUCCAAGCCUGUGCUGAACACCGUUCUCUUCAUCUACCCAGCCACUUUUUGUUGUUAUUGUACCUUUGUUUGUUUAUUCUUCCAUUCACUCAUGCUACCAAUGUUCCCUAAGUACUUUCUCUGUGCACGAAACUGUGUAAACACCAGUAAGCAUGAGAAAAGAUCUAUCAGGAAGUUCACAGUUGAGCAAAAGAAACAAGAAACCGUGAUCAGGAGGUUUAGAAAAGUUAUCUUUCUUUCCAAAGCACCAUUCUGAUUAUGUUUACGAUCCUCAAAAGGCUUCAAAGGUUCCCCUUUUCCUACAGGAUAAAGUCCAAGUAGCUUAGCCUGUUUUCUUAUCCCUCUGAGAUCUGGUCCCUGUCUUGUCUCCUCUCGACAUCAUUCAUUCAACAUUUGUUAAGUGCUGACUAUGUGCCAGACACUGUACCAGAGUCUUGGAAUGCAAUGCUGAGUGGCACAGACUUAGGCCCUGCUCUCCUGGAGCUUGCAGAUAUUAAUCAAAUUAUCACACUGAUACAGAAUUAGGCAAUCCUUUAAACUUCCAGUGGUCCAGCCCCACUUGAUUCAGGAUCCUUCCUUCCAGCAGAGGUUCCCAGCCCAGGAAGUACAUAGUCAUGCAGUUCUCCUUGGACUCUUUAGAUAACCAGUUGAUCUUUAAUAAAGUGAUUUGUCUAAUUAAUCAACCAGGAACAUCUGCUUCUGAAGAGAGAACUUUUCUUGGAUCCCAUGAAUAAAUGUUUAUUUUAUUUUAACAUAGUUUUUCAACAACAGGUUAAAAUUGCUGGCUACACACUACUAUGGAAUGCCAUGAUCUCCCUCCAGAGGAGUCUCUGCUUAAAGUUAAUUGCUUAUUACUUAUGUUCCCAAUUUAAUCCUAAAUUUCAAGAAGGCAGAGUUUUUGCCUAUUCUUGCUCAUCAUCGAAUACCCAGCACUUUGCCCAGUGCUAGGCACGCUGUUCUGUACAUGUGCUGGUUAGGCAUCCUUAACUACAUAAAGCCUUAAUUCAAAAUGAGACUGUGGCAGACAUAGAUCCUUACCUUAAAAAAAAAAAAAAGUUUUCAGAAGGUGAAACAGAGCCUGAGAGGAAAAGCAACUUUCCAAAAGCCACAGAGAAAGUUGAUAGCUUAAUUGAAGUUGGAACCAAAGAGAACCAGAAGUCCUGAACUCCUGCUAUACCACACCCACUCACACACCUUGAGUCUGAAAUGGCAAGGAGGACAGGUCCUCAAAGCAAAAAGGUGCAUAACUCGAGGCAGACAGUCUCCCAUCCCAAGCUUCUGUUGUACAUGAAUUUACAUCAGAGAGUCACUGAGCCGACUCUUUUAGAUGUAGAAGAGACCAUCUUCAUGGGAGAAACUCUUGCCUGCCCCCAAACAAGACCUCUGACUGAGGAAUAUAUUCAAUCACUCCCUCUAACCCAAACUCCCCAAAACACUAUUUCCUAUUAUGUCUCCAUAACCAAAUUCAACCCACCCAAAUCUCAAGAUUAGAUCUGUGAGCUCACAAAGGCCUAAUCACCCAAUUAAGAGGAGGAAAACCUGAUCCUUUCUAAACAAAGUGAAAUGUGAGGUAACCCAGUUGCUGAGAUUAAGUCUCACUCAGGAAGAAGCAAAGGAGCUAGGAGAGAAUGGGUGGGUCAUUCAUUAAACGGAAUUUUCCAGGAAAUUUGAGUGAUGUGUCUCCCCAGAUCUCAGUGUUCCAGGCCCCAGAACAAUGCUGGAGGCAAGGCCCUGGCUUUAGGAGGACCAUGGGGGUGAAGACAGCAUUACUCUCCUUGCCCGAAAUCCCUAGGUACUAUCUGGGGCAUUCUGAUCUCUCACUGGACAAAUGGCCUGCUAUCAAUGAUGAACUUUAUACUCAGGCCCAAAAAAUUCCAAGAGAAAAGUGCUUAGAAAGAUAAACUAUAGCCCACUACCAUCAUUUCAAUAGACUCAGAAAAUUCAACAUCCAUUUCAAAUGGAAACAAAACAAAGCUUUUGCAGCAAACUAGAAAUAGAAGAUACCUCCUUCCAUGUAAUAAAGGGCAUAUACCAUAAAAAAAUACAACUAGCAUUAUACUUAAUGGUGAAAGACUAAACGUCUAAAAUUAGAAAAAAGGCAAAGAUGUCUGUUCUUACCACUUCUGUUCAUAUAGUACUAAAAGUCCUAGCUACAGCAAUUAGACAAGUAAUAAAUAAAUAAAAGUCAUCCAAAUUGGAAAGGAAGAAGUAUAAUUGUCUCUGUUUGCAGAUGACAUGAUCAUACAUAUAGAACACUUUAGGAAGAACUGAGUUUUCCAACACUGGAGGCAUGUUACCAGUGCAUGUUCAAGGGCAUACAAAAAUGUUAAAGAGAAAGCAAGACUAGAUGAUCUCUUAAGAUCCUUCCAACUCUGAUACAGAAGAGGUACUCCAAGACAAAGAAUGGAGUAUGCCAAAUAAACGGUAGAGAGAAUGAGUGAGUGCACUAUGUUGAGAAGGAAAAGACUUUGUGCUGAAAGGGUCAAGAAGCCUUUGUGGAAGAAGCAACACUUGAGUAGUUUUGAUCUAGACUAUGGUCUAUAAGAACAAGCACUGUGCUGGGCAUAAGACUGACCUGGUUUUAUAUAUAUAUAAAAAUUAUCUGGUUCAGGAAUUGAAAGACAGUUUGGCAUACCGUUAAGGGCAAGGACUCAGAUAGACCUGGAUUCAAAUCCCAAUUCUGCCUUAGACAAGUGAUUUCUCCUGACAGAGCAUCAAUUUUCUCCUCUUCAAUAUGAGAAUAACAACUUCUAGCUUAUAGAAUUGCUGGAAGAAUUUGUGAAAAUGUAUUUGAUGUUCCCAGUAGAGUGCCUGUCAUACAGAUGUGUGCAGUAUGUAAUUGGUAGUGAUUACUCUGAGAAGGUGUUUGGACUUUGGUUAAUUACUUACUGAUUUCUGGAAUGAGACCUUUAUGACUGAUACAAAAAUGGACACAUAAACCAAUGGAACAGAAUAGAGAACUCAGAAAUAAAACCAUACACCCAAGCCAUCUGGUCUUCUACAAAGUUGACAAAAGUAAGAAAUGAAGAAAGGACUCCUUAUUCAGUAAAUGGUGCUGGGAUAGCUGGCUAGCCACAUGCAGAAGAAUAAAACUGGGCCCUUACCUUUCACCAUAUACAAAAAUUAACUCAAGAUGGAUUAAAGAUUUAAAUUUAAGUCCUCCAACUAUAAGAAUCCUAGAAGAAAACCUAUAAAACACCAUUCUCAAUGUCAGCCUUGGGAAAGAAUUUAUGAUUAAGUCUUCAAAUGCAGCUGCAACAAAAACAAAAAUUGACAGUGGGAUCUAAUUAAAGAGCUUUCGCACAGCAAAAGAAAUUAUCAAUAAACAGACAACCUACAGAAUGAAAGAAAAUAUUCAAACUAUGCAUCCAACAGAAGUCUAAUAUUCAGACUCUGUAAGAAACUUAAUAAGCAAAAAACAAAUAACUCCAAUAAAAAAAUGGGCAAAAGACAUUAACAGACACUUCUGAAAAGAAGACACUCAAGCAGCCAAUAAACAUGAAAAACUGCUCCACAUUACUAGUCAUCAGAGAAACAGAAAUCAAAACCACAAUUGCGUGCUAUCUCACACUAGUCAGAAUGGCUAUUAUCAAAAAGUCAAAAAACAACAGAUGCUGAUGAGGCUGUACAGAAAGGGGAACACUUAUUCACUGUUGGUGAGAAUGUAAAUUGGUUAAGCCACUGUGGAAAGUAGUUUGGAGAUUUCUCAAAGAACUUAGAAUUAUCAUUCAACCCAGCAAUCCCAUUACUGGGUAUAUAUCCAAAAGAAAAUAAAUCCUUCUAC
rnacentral:lncRNA from 1 species